rfam:Oligella urethralis DNF00040 contig019, whole genome shotgun sequence.
GUUUUCCUGCGGUAUUCGUGACCUUGGUUAUACAUCUCUUACCGAUGCUUAUGGCUAGGGUAGUUAGCUCAGAUGCAGGAGUGAAUCUCUCUCGUCAGAGAAUCCCGGCGCAUCAUACGAGCCGACCGCCAACUUGAACUUUUUGGGUUCGAGAUGCCGACCUUGACGGUACCGCGGGUUACCC